rnacentral:rRNA from 1 species
CCUACGGGAGACAGCAGUGAGGAAUAUUGGUCAAUGGACGAGAGUCUGAACCAGCCAAGUAGCGUGAAGGAUGACUGCCCUAUGGGUUGUAAACUUCUUUUAUAAAGGAAUAAAACGAGGCACGUGUGCCUUUUUGCAUGUACUUUAUGAAUAAGGAUCGGCUAAGCCCGUGCCAGCAGCAGCGGUAAUACGGAGGAUCCGGGGGUUAUCCGGAUUUAUUGGGUUUAAAGGGAGCGUAGAUGGGUUGUUAAGUCAGUUGUGAAAGGUUGCGGCUCAACCGUAAAAUUGCAAUUGAUACUGGCAGUCUUGAGUACAGUUGAGGUAGGCGGAAUUCGUGGUGUAGCGGUGAAAUGCUUAGAUAUCACGAAGAACCCCGAUUGCGAAGGCAGCUUACUAAACUGUGACUGACAUUGAUGCUCGAAAGUGUGGGUAUCAAACAGGAUUAGAUACCCCGGUAGUC